CUUAGUGGAGAUAUCUCGGGAAAACUGAGGAUAAUAAUCCAUAGAUCUAGGAUGCUGGAAUGCACCUAGAUUGAAAGCUCCGGCGCCUAGGAUGAGUCUGCGGACUAUCAGGUUGUAGUCAGGGUAAAGACCUGACUAGCCUACGACGGAUACGGGUUGUGAGAGCAAUAACCCGGAGACGAUAUCUGAGACACGAUAUCGGGCCCUACGGGGCGCAGCAGGCGCGAAAACUUCACACUGUGCGAAAGCGCGAUGAGGGAAUCCCAAGUGCUUGCUCGUAAGAGUAAGCUGUUUCUUUGUCUAAAACGCAGAGAGAGUAAGGGCUGGGUAAGACGGGUGCCAGCCGCCGCGGUAAUACCUGCAGCUCAAGUGGUGAUCAUUAUUAUUGGGCCUAAAACGUCCGUAGCCGGUUUAGUAAAUGCCUGGGUAAAUCGUGUAGCUUAACUAUACGAAUUCUGGGUAGACUGCUAAACUUGAGACCGGGAGAGGCUAGAGGUACUCCUGGGGUAGAGGUGAAAUUCUGUAAUCCUAGGGGGACCACCAGUGGCGAAGGCGUCUAGCUAGAACGGGUCUGACGGUGAGGGACGAAGCCCUGGGGCGCAAACCGGAUUAGAUACCCGGGUAGUCCAGGGUGUAAACGCUGCUUGCUUGAUGUUAGUUGGGCUCCGAGCCCAACUAGUGUCGGAGAGAAGUUGUAAGCAAGCUGCCUGGAAGACGUCGCA
rnacentral:rRNA from 1 species